rnacentral:rRNA from 1 species
GCUUAGAGAGGGGUCAAUGUCCUAUCAGCUAGUUGGUAAGGUAAUGGCUUACCAAGGCUAAGACGGGUAGCCGGCCUGAGAGGGUGGUCGGCCACACUGGGACUGAGACACUGCCCAGACUCCUACGGGAGGCUGCAGUCGAGAAUCUUUCGCAAUGCCCGAAAGGGUGACGAAGCGACGCCGCGUGUGGGAAGAAGGCCUUCGGGUUGUAAACCACUGUCGGGAGUUAAGAAAUGUAAGGGUGUUAAUAGCAUCCUUACUUGACUAAGGCUCCGGAGGAAGCCACAGCUAACUCUGUGCCAGCAGCCGCGGUAAUACAGAGGCGGCAAGCGUUGUUCGGAAUUAUUGGGCGUAAAGAGCACGUAGGCGGCUUUGUAAGUCAGUUGUGAAAGCCUUCCGCUUAACGGAAGAACAGCAUCUGAUACUGCAAGGCUAGAGUGCGGAAGGG